rnacentral:snRNA from 13 species
AGCUUUGUGCAGUGGCAGUAUCAUAGCCAAUGAGGUUUAUCCGAGGCGUGAUUAUUGCUAAUUGAAAAAUUGAGGAAUAGUUUAGUAAAACACACAGAUCUUAAGUAUAUAAUUCAAUGGCUUUUUACAAAUAUCUAUCUGUA